rnacentral:rRNA from 1 species
UACGGAGGGCGCAAGCGUUGUUCGGAAUCACUGGGCGUAAAGCGCGUGUAGGCGGCUUGGCAAGUCGGGUGUGAAAUCCCGAGGCUCAACCUCGGAACUGCACUCGAAACUGCCUUGCUCGAGUCCGGGAGAGGGUGGCGGAAUUCCCGGUGUAGGGGUGAAAUCCGUAGAUAUCGGGAGGAACACCAGUGGCGAAGGCGGCCAUCUGGUCGAGGACUGACACUCAAGUGCGAAAGCGUGGGGAGCAAACACG